AGACGUACCUCACGGAAGCCGGCUUUGGCCCUGCGGCUGCUACCGUCGCCGCGGAGAAAUUGUUGGAUCUGGCAGUCUAGGAAUGAAUCUCCUCUCAGCCUUUAAGCUCACCUGGUCAGAAUCCUUGGAUGAGCCUGUGGGACCGUUCCUCCUAGCCCGGUGGUUUGGAACCAGUGGCUUUGGGACUGUAAGAGGAUGGACAAAGGUAGUAUGAGGCCGGGACAGCUCCCCAAAUGCUCGGGCGCCAAGCAUCUGCUGAUUCCACUCUGUGCCUGGCACGUGUGUCUUUCGGUCCUGGCUAGGCCUUGCCACCUCCCCCUGGGCCAGCACCACCCAUGUACCUGUCGGCAGAGCCACAGUUGACUGACUUGCUGUUGAGCUGCUGCUCUUUAGCACGGCUGCAUUUUGAUGGCAGAGGGAGCAGUUAUGCCCAGAGCCCAGCGUGUCGGCAUCACCAGUCUGACCUGAGCACCAUGUGCUGCACGACAUGACACGUGGCACCGGGGGAACUGCCCAGCGUGGAAGGUCUGGGCCAGGUCUGAGCCCAGAUGGGAUCUGGAUGGCCAAGGAACUCUACCUUAAAACCUCAAGUGUCAAGGAGGCAGGGGAGGGGCCAAGAGGGCUGGCAGGGGAAGGGGGCUGGGGAGGGGUCCCAUUUGCAGAGGCUGCUUCCUCUGUCAGUGCCUUUCUCUGCGUAGUCCUUGGUUUCCCAUCUUUCUCUGGCCUGCAUAGACCUACUCCCCCAAUUCUUCAGGUCCCAGCCCUCACCUGCCCCAUUUCCCCAGAUCACCCUGGGCAGAGCAACCAAGGAUAACCAGAUUGAUGUGGACCUGUCUCUGGAGGGUCCGGCCUGGAAGAUAUCCCGGAAACAAGGUAUCCCCCACCCCCUGCCCCAGCAGGAAGCAGUGUGAGGUCGUCCCUCCCAGCCUCUCGCUGUCCUUUCUAGCCCUGGGCUUGGUGUCCAUGGGGACCCUCGUGGACCACCUGAGGCAGGGAUUCCUUGGUGUCUGCAGGAAGCAGAGCUGGUCCAUGGAAGCUCCUGGCUCUCUCUGGCCUUUCCCCAUCCCAUCAAUC
rnacentral:lncRNA from 1 species